GCGGGUGUGGCGGAAUCGGCAGACGCGCUAGAUUUAGGAUCUAGUGUCUAUGACGUGAGGGUUCAAGUCCCUCCGCCCGCACCA
rnacentral:tRNA from 1 species